GGCUGGGUAGCAAAGCGGUUAUGCAGAGGCCUGCAAAGCCUUAUAGACCGGUUCGACUCCGGUCCCAGCCUCCA
rnacentral:tRNA from 2 species